rnacentral:tRNA from 1 species
GGCGAGAUUCCCGAGUGGUCAAAGGGGACAGACUGUAAAUCUGUUGGCUUAUUGCCUUCGAAGGUUCAAAUCCUUCUCUCGCCACCA